rnacentral:rRNA from 1 species
GACAGAGGUCCCAAGCGUUAGGCGGAAUCACUGGGCUUAAAGCGUGUGUAGGCGGCCUUCUAAGUACCUUGUGAAAUCCCACGGCUCAACCGUGGAACUGCUUGGUAUACUGGUUGUCUUGGGCCAUCUAGGGGCUAGCGGAACAAACGGUGGAGCGGUGAAAUGCGUAGAUAUCGUGUGGAACGCCAAUGGUGAAAACAGCUAGCUGGGGAUGUGCCGACGCUGAGACACGAAAGCCAGGGGAGCGAACGGG